CCGGCACACGGGUGCGUAACGCGUAUGCAACCUACCUUUAACAGGGGGAUAACCCGGAGAAAUCCGGACUAAUACCCCAUAAUAUGGGCGCUCCGCAUGGAGAGUCCAUUAAAGAGAGCAAUCUUGGUUACAGACGAGCAUGCGCUCCAUUAGCCAGUUGGCGGGGUAACGGCCCACCAAGGCGACGAUGGAUAGGGGUUCUGAGAGGAAGGUCCCCCACAUUGGAACUGAGACACGGUCCAA
rnacentral:rRNA from 1 species